rnacentral:sRNA from 1 species
AAGGCUGCUAUUACAUGUCAUGCCGACAUC